rnacentral:lncRNA from 1 species
UAAUCUGAGUAAUCUCUAAGUCUUUCGAGCCGAGCGAGUCCAUUUCAAUAUUUCAUAUAUUUCAGAUCAAAUCCCAUUUUGCCCUAGCCCUUACCCCCUAGCAGUUAGCCUGCUCCCAUUCUUCACACUUUUCGUGGAACUCGAUCUGACAUCCUCUCCACUUCUCCAGCCUCUGUCCCUCCGCCUCUCUCCGGCCUCCGCGGCGAACGCGCCUCGGGUGACGCACGAUCUCGAUCUCGGCUCCCAGUCUCCAAGUCUCGAUCUCGGCCUUAUCCGGCUCUCUUUGUAUGUUUGUUUUGUUUUGUUUUGUAAGUUACAUCUGAUUUUGAAUUGAACCCUUUUAGUCUUUUACGGGUUAUUCGAUCUUAUUUUGGUAGUUAGGGUUAUGAUUUCUAAGGUGGGUACUGGGUAAUCUUUUGAUUUGAGUGAUUGAAUCUUCUAAGGUGGGUACGGAGGGAUUGAAUCUUCUUAAAGGUGUAUUGGAUAGCAACUCUUGAGAUAAUAGUAGGUAAAGGAAAUUAAGAAUAGGUUGGGGUGCAGGGGAGGGAGGAAGGAAGGAAAGGGCCUGUACACUGACUGACGGGUUCAUGUUUUUUUUAACCCCCAUGUUGUUGCAGCCCCUCUCCUUUAUCCUUAUUGUUAUGAAAUAAACAAGUUAGUUUUAUUUAAUUUAGUUAGUUAAUUUUAUUUUAUUUUAUUUUUCUCAGAUCAUGUACCUUGUCAUAAAGUUAUGUUGUAUCUUUUCUUUUUUAGUGGUGCGCAGUGUAUAAAAUCCAUUUUGAAGGGUGCUUUGUUGUAUAAGAAAAUCUUUUCACUCAAUAAUUCAUACACAUGUAGAUUUGUUGUUUAUCAGGGCUUGUUUCUGAAACCAUAGUUUGCAGACCAGUGGGCAGUGGCUCAUUAUAUGGAGCUUUGAUUGGGUCUGUCCUGGCUUUUAAUGUUGCCGAUUUUCUAGGUGAGACUAAUUUCAUUCUUGUUCUCAUUUAUUUAUGUAAAUGCAUGUGUUCUAUCAGGUGUUCUUUAGUUGUGUUUUUCUGCAGUCAGUAAUGUGGUGUAGUUGUCAUACUUUUUAAGUUUUAAUGAUAAACCAACUGUGUCUGUGUUAAUGCCAGUUAAAUAGUACAGGAUUUGUGUUGCAUACUUGCAUGUUCAUGUUGUUGUACAUGAUGUGUGAUGUUCAUGGUCAUUUGAUGUACAGGAUUUGUGUUGCAUGUUGAUGUUGCUGUUGUUGACUUGUUGUUGGUUGUCGGCUGUUGUUGUAUGUUGUUGUUCGUUGUUGGUUGUUUGCUGUUGCACACUUGCACAAGCACAAUUGCUGUCUGCUGGUCUGCUGCUAGUUGCUGCUGCGUGCUACUCUGUCUCUGCUAGUAGAUUAAUUUCAUGUUGGCUUGUUGUUGCUUUGUUAAGUCAUAAAUUUGUUAAGGUCAUAAGGACUGGACAGUUAAUUUUUGUUGGUUUGUUGUUGCUGACUUGCUGUAUUUUGGACAGUUAAUUUGGCUUGCUUUGUUAAGUCAUAAAUUUCAUGUUGGCUUGUUGUUGCUACUGGACAAUUAAGUUAACAGUUGGCAGUUACUGGACAGUUGAUUUGUUAAACAGUUAACAUGUAAUUUAUGUUGGAUGAUAUUUCGGUUAUUACCCGAAUACCCGAAAUUACAAUUCCGUAAUUCGAUAUUCGGUUAUUUUCAAAUUUUAGUUAACAUUUCGGAUAGUGAAAUUAUCAAUAAUUCAAUUUUUCGAUUAUAACCGAAUAGCUUAUUCGGUUCGGUUAUAACCGAAUGAUCACUCCUAACUUCCACUCCCCCUAUCUCCAUCACAAGUCCCAACUUAUUGUCCAGUACCACAUCUUGUCCAACCUAAACCACCUCACCCACUUCAUUCACACAAAAAUCUCUGCUCUAACGUAUCCCAAGCUCUGUGACCUUGACGCUAUUUUGCUCCUCCUCCUCUUUUGCGAACUCCGCCAACAGGAUCCCAAAGCACUUGAAACAACACCAAUUAAAUGGCGUCUCACUCUUUGUAAUUAUUAUGUUCAUGAUACCAUAUUAACAUUUUCUGGUAUUAGUGUUUGAAAUAGUGUCGGUACAUAUUUUUUUCAUAGUACAAUUGGUAACCAAACCUUCAUACAAAGGUAUCCAAUUCAGUUUUAUUGGGUUACCAAUUAAUUAUAAAAAAUUUAAGAACAGUUUCCAAGUGUUUCCUGAAUUUGUUUUAUUUAACAUGUGCAACCAUGAAAAAUUUUAUUGGGUUCUGUAAUGGUCGUCGUCAGUACAUUUUUUUUCACAGUUCAGUUGGUAGCCAAACCUUCAUAUAAAGGUAACAAGUUCAGUUUUAUUGGGUUACCAAUUAAUUAUAAAAAAAAUUUAAGAAUAGUUUUCAUGUGUUACUUGAAUUUGUUUUCUUCAACAUGUGCAACCAUAUAUGAACAAUUUUAUUUGGUUCUGCAAUGGUCACCGUCAGUACAUUUUUUUUAUAGUGCAGUUGGUAGCCAAACCUUCAUACAAAGGUAACCAAUUCAUUUUUAUUAGGUUACCAAUUAAUUAUAAAAAAUUUAAGAACAGUUUCCAACAUGUGCAACCAUGAACAAUUUUAUUGGGUUAUGCAUUGCAAUUGGAUAGCGAUAAUUAAUUUCUCACUAAAUCAG